UCAUUUUUACUAAUGGUGCCGUUGCCGUCCACGUCGUAGAGCGAGAAGGCCCACUCGAGCUUCCGCGUGGUCUUCCCAGUCGAGGUGAGGUGCAGGGCCACGAUGUACUCCUUAAAGUCCAGCGUGCCGUCGGCGUUGGUGUCGAAACUGCGGAAGACGUGCCGCGCGUAGUCGGUGGAGUUGGCGUCCGGGAAGAAGCUGGCGUAGAUGCCCUCGAACUGCUCCUUGGUGAUGCGCCCGCUGGGGCACUCCUUGAGGAAGCUCUGGUACCAGAGAGAGAGAGAGAGAGAGACACACGUUGUUUCUACUACUGUGUACAGUGAAAAACGUCAGUGCCAGUCAAUGCAGCCUGAGCCAUGGGUAGAGUCCCAGGCAGAUCAUUCGGCCAUCUGCUGUCAGAGUAAUUGGACUGCUGUGAGAGCAGAAAUUAAUUUGGUGCCCGUGGACUGAGACGACAGUUGAAUCCACCAGAGCUUACGCAAUAGGACCAGGCUUGGUUGGCAGCUUGCUGUUUGGUCGCCUGGCAAGGCCCAGCAUGGCCAGGGUUGG